AAAAUUUCGAGAUAAAACUUCCACAUAUGCCGAGCACACUUGAAAAAUAAAUUCAAGAAGAAACUCCGCAUGUUUAUUUCUGCAAAAGAACGAAGAGAUUUCUAUCCAAACAAGAAAUAACCGGAACAAGUUCUUUCGGAAGGUUUUUACGAAACAUCAUAGUUUUACAAUACAUUUUUCUGUUAAACAGACUUCUCAAAUUUUUUUGGUAAAAACUUUCGUCAAACAAGUAAAAUAAGUUUUACGAAACAAUCUUCCGUAGAAAGAAACUUUUAAAAGUUUACUUGGAAAACUUUUCGUAAAAAUAGCGAAGAACAAUUCCGAAAGCAUUCACAUCUACGAAAAAACGGAAGAGAUGAGACAAGGCAGGAGGAUUUCCUCAUCGCCUCUCUCUCUCUCCUCA
rnacentral:lncRNA from 1 species